rnacentral:rRNA from 1 species
AUUGAACGCUGGCGGCGUGCUUAACACAUGCAAGUCGAACGGAGUGGCGAACGGGUGAGUAACACGUGGGUGACCUGCCCUGCACUUCGGGAUAAGCCUGGGAAACUGGGUCUAAUACCGGAUAGUGGGGGAUGGGCGGGCGGGCUAUCAGCUUGUUGGUGGGGUAAUGGCCUACCAAGGCGGCGACGGGUAGCCGGCCUGGGAGGGUGGACGGCCACAAUGGGACUGAGACACGGCUCAGACUCCUACGUGAGGCAGCAGUGGGGAAUAUUGCACAGUCGGCGGAAGCCUGAGGCAGCGGCGCCGGGGGGGGGAUGACGGCCUUCUGGUUGUAAACUCCUUUCACCAUCGACGCGGUAGAUGGAGAAGAAGCACCGGCUAACUACGUGCCAGCAGCCGCGGUAAUUC